UGGUGGAGUGAUUUGUCUGGUUAAUUCCGUUAACGAACGAGACCUCGACCUGCUAAAUAGUUCGGGUUAUCUUACGAUAGCUACUCACGUAACGAGCUUCUUAGAGGGACUAUCGGUGGUUAGCCGGUGGAAGUUCGAGGCAAUAACA
rnacentral:rRNA from 1 species